CACACACACACACACACACACACACACACACACACACACACACACACACACACACACACACACACACACACACACACACACACUCAUGAGAUGAGGUAACAGUAUAUCAGGCACACACGGACAAAUACACAAAGCACACACACACUGAAUGUGAAUAAAAGAGUAGGGCGUGAAGUGCUGAUUGAAAUAUGGAGGUCUGCAUUUCAGAGAAGGCAUCUUGAAUCCCAUAGAUCUUAUUUAAUUUGGCAUUCCAUCAUAUUUACAAUGAUACCAUAUCCAACCCCUCCCUGGGCCUCUAAGGGCCCAUUGAACCCAUUACACCCACUCCCUUUUUGCUCCCUACUGACUCCUUCUCCUACUCCCUCUCUCUCUCUCUCUCUCUCUCUCUCUCUCUCUCUCUCUCUCUCUCUCUCUCUCUCUCUCUCUCUCUCUCUCUCUCUCUCUCUCUCUCUCUCUCUCUCUCUCUAUCUCUCCUCUCUCUCCCUCCCUCUCUCUCUCUCUCCCUCUCUCUCUCUCCCUCUCUCUCAGUCUAUUCCUCAUCCUCCCUCCUCUCCCUCUGUGCCCUGGGUCUCUCUCCCUACUUUCCCAAGGACGCCUCUGUUUGACUGUCUCCAAAGCAAACACAUGGAGACAGACAGGCCCUCUCUCCACUGGCCAUGAUCAAAUCGCACAUAAUCAUCUCCAAGCAAGCUCUCUCACUCUCUAUCUCUCACACUCUCUCUCUCACACUCUCUCUCCAGUAACCUUUCUAUAGCACCAAUCCUCAAUCAUCCCAGUGUCUCUCUGGGAAAUGCAGUCCAAUAAUAUUUUAGUUAAUCUAUCUAUGGAAGCCAAUAAUUCAACUGUUCACUUUUAUAAAACACAUGCACAUGCCUGCUACGAUCUAUAGUCUAAUUGUCACCUCUCUCUCUCUCUCUCUCUCUCUCUCUCUCUCUCUCUCUCUCUCUCUUUCGCUCUCUCUCUUUCUCUUUUUCUCUUUUUCUCUCGCUCUCUCACUCUCUCUCACUCUCGCUCUCGGUCUCACCUCUCUCGCUCUCUCUUUCUUUCUCUCUCUCUCUCUCCCUCUCUCUCUCUUUCUCUCUACCUCUCUCACUGUGUCUUUCCUUCAGAGUUUGCCUUGCUGGGAAACUGACAGCAAGAUCAGCUGUGAGCAGACAUUGCAGAAAGGGGAGGGGCCUAAGACCGCCUGGACACGGGAGCUAACCAAUGACGGCGAGCUGAUUCUGACCAUGAGCGCAGACGACGUGAUCUGCACCCGAAUCUACAUACGAGAAUGAAUGAGAGACCCCCUCUCUCUCCAUCCCUCCAUCCUCCAUCCCUCUCUCUCCAUCCCUCCAUCCUCCAUCCCUCUCUCUCCAUCCCUCCAUCCUCCAUCCUUCUCUCUCCAUCCCUCCAUCCUCCAUCCCUCUCUCUCCAUCCCUCCAUCCUCCAUCCCUCUCUUUCCAUCCCUCCAUCCCUCUCUCUCUCCGGGGCGACCUUGACCCCCAGCGCCCAAUCACCCUGAGCCCCAGGGAGGGAGACCCCGUAGCCCCAGUCCCGACUGCACCAGUGUAUAUGCAUAAUACUGUAUACCAUAGCUUCAUUAUGCCACUAGUCUUGCCCUACAGUAUGUUUCACAUGUAGUCCUUUGUUCAUAGUCUUUGCACGCAGUAUUUUUAGCUUCCCUGAAGCUGUGACCCAUUUGGGGUUGUAAACAAAGUGUUGCGUAUAUGUUGUGUCACAUUUCUUGGAAGUCUGAUCGUCUGCAUGAGUACCAACUUAUCGCUGUGUUUCCAGAAGAGAUAGCAUGCGUGCAAGCGUCUGCAUGCAUGUACUUGUGCAUGUGUCUGUGUGCGCCUGUGUUUGUAUGUGUGUGUGAGUUUGUGUGUAUGCGUUUGCAUGCACAUCAUGGACUAUAUUUGUAGUUGUGUGUAAGCCAAUCUCUGAGCCCUUCUAAUCUUAGGUCAGUUGUGAUGUGUCCAUUAUCUUUGUUCCUGUCCUACCCACCCUUCCGCCUUCUUUUCUAUCAUCUUUUGUAUUUAUUUCUAUCCACUAGUCUCAUACAGCACCCUUAGGGUUUUUCACUUUGUGUCUCUUUUAUAAAAAAAUGUAUCAGUGUAAGCAACACUCGAUGGAGGACAAUAAACUACAAUGUUGACUCACACAA